rnacentral:lncRNA from 1 species
UUUUCGAGCACCUCACAUCUACCGUGCCACCGUAUUUAGUACUACUCCGGAAUCCGGAUCACAUAACUGUCAAGACAUCAAGCGGAAACAGCGACUGAUCCAUCUUGGGCGACCCCACACGCGAAUGAAGCGCAGAGCGCUCGUUCGGGGCGUCGUGGCGCCGUGAAUCCCCACACGAACAUCGUUCAAUCCGCUGCCCCACGAAGGUGGUGGCGAUCGCAUCUGUGUGGAAAGGGAGAAAAAAGAGAGGGCGACGUGGAUCAUCGAUGUGGUAGUUGCUGGUUGGUGGGGCGAUGACAUCACCGACGACCGCCCGUACCAAGCCGGCCGAUCGCUGGAUCGAUCGAUCGAUCGAUUCGCGAGCUGUUUACGCACGCGCUUCGCCUUUUCGGCCGACGGGACGGGACGCGAUUUUCCGGGUCGUGCUUCGCCUCCGGCGCUGCGGCGCUGUAACUGGAACAAUGGCCACUUGGCACGGAGCUGAUGAUUGAAAGGCUUGGACGGACGCGGCCGGGCUAAUCCAUAUCGCGAAGCCUAGUCUUAAUCGCAAUCCUCUAAUGAAGUCCAAGCUAAUCCAUCUCGGCAACCUAAUCUUAAUCACAGCCUUCUUGAUAGUGCGUAACACUGUGACAGGAAGAAUGUUCAGAGAAGAGAUUAUACAUACGGGAAGGGUCUAUCGGGUCGUCAGGUUUGUUUUUCACAUUACUAUUUGAUCAAUUAAUAUUUAAAAUUCUUUCAAUUAUAUUUCCAGCUAUCCUCCCACUCUCGUCAUUUCCUCAGUUUUGUUAUUAAUAUUAAUAUCUGUCAAAUAUAGUUUCCACACAAACUGAUGGAGUUGGCAGCACUCGUCAAAAAGAAAGUCUUCGCACUUUGAUAGUAUCCGUUUUUUUUCAUAAUCAAGGACAAUCUCUGUCUAGAUCAAUCAUUGACUGAAAAAACAAACGGAGAGAAUCAGCAUCCUUUUUAAUAAAGAGUUCCUCAAGUCGAUGUGAGCAUGCUUUAACAGAAACAAAAUCAGCUAAAAGGACAUCUUGUUUAAUAGAGGUUGGUUGGCUAGGUGGCUUUGCCAUAACCCAGUCAUACCAACCAUUUUGUCCACAUUGUGUGACUAUGAGCUGUGGUAGGCCAUGAGCCCAUGAUAUAUUGCAGCAGCCUGUCCUCUUCCUAUGCAUCUUCCAGGUCAUGUGACUUUGUGACUCCUCUGCUCUCUUCUCAGAAGUUGCAACAUUCUUUAAUGAUAACCACCAGUGAGUUAAUGGCAUAUGGCAACAAACAGAAUUUGGGCUUAACUGAAGGCGAAACACAGCAUCUGGUUGAAAGUGCAGAGUUAGCCAUGUGCUUUGAAGUUUUGGAGGAAAACUGGCAAAGACUGAAACCAGGCUAACCUGCAGGUAUCAGACGAUUUUUAGAGUAUUUGACACUCCCUACUUGACUGUCAUAUGCAGCGACGGUCCGUUUGAGUCAGAAAUGCUCUUACGAUGUGUUGACUACUAUUAUAGGCAACGUUUGAUUCUUUUUUACUUUUAAAAUAUGAAACUGCAUAUCUUGCCGAAGUUGGAAGCAAUAAAGCGUGGGAUUUGCCGCCCUACUUAUGUAUUACGCCAUUCACCGGUCAUGGAGCAUUGCAGCUUUACUUGAGU